AUGGAUCCCGAUGUGGAGCACCAUGGAUCCCGAUGUGGAGCUCCACUGUGGCCCGAUCUGACCUGGGAGCGACUAGAUCCGUGUGUCUCCGCCUCACUCCGCGCGCCUCCAUGGUCCGCCGUCUUCCCGAGCGCCGGCGCCGCGCUCAGCCGCCGCCGUCCCAUGCCAUGGUCGCCUCCCUCCAGAACGAUGUGCCAUGGCCACCUCCCUGCCUCUCCCGCAAGUGGGACUCUGCACCCCUGGCCUAGCAUAUUAAUGGAGGGCGCUGCCGACGUCGGUUCAUGCCUCGGUGCUCCUCACAUUAACUCCCAGCACCCGUACAUGAGCCCCAAGGCACCACGCGAUUCCGGCAGCUCCAUUGGGAAAGCACCAAGGACAAUUUCGCUUCAAUUUAAUGUGAGCUCAAUCCUCAAAGCUUGCACAUGGAUCCCUUAUAGUAUGCAAUCAAGCUUGAGAUAA
rnacentral:rRNA from 1 species